ensembl:misc_RNA Metazoa_SRP Metazoan signal recognition particle RNA
GCCGGGCGUGGUGGUGCAUGCCUGUAAUCCCAGCUACUCAGGAGGCUGAGGCAGGAGAAUCACUUGAACCCAGGAGGCGGAGGUUGGAGUGAGCCGAGAUGGCGCCAUUGCAGUGAGUUGAGAUGGUACCACUGCACUCCAGCCUGGGCGACAGAGUGAGACUCUGUCUCCA